UACAGAGGUCUCAAGCGUUGUUCGGAUUCAUUGGGCGUAAAGGGUGCGUAGGCGGCGCGGUAAGUCGGGUGUGAAAUCUCGGAGCUUAACUCCGAAACUGCAUUCGAUACUGCCGUGCUUGAGGACUGGAGAGGAGACUGGAAUCUACGGUGUAGCGGUGAAAUGCGUAGAUAUCGUAAGGAAGACCAGUGGCGAAGGCGGGUCUCUGGACAGUUCCUGACGCUGAGGCACGAAGGCGAGGGGAGCAAACGGG
rnacentral:rRNA from 1 species